AGAUAUUUUCAUGCAUUGAUUACCCAAUUUCUGGAAAUAUGUGUCCUGAGAACCUAGAAUUUAGAUAUAUAAAAAUAUCGUGAAGAAAUACACAAAAAAGCAACAUAAAUAAUAACAAUGAAUAAACAGCUUCAAGAGUUAUCUGCAAGCAGAACAACGACAUUCCAAACCGUUCCAGGACUGAAUGAGACUUUUAAAAUGGGGAAAACAACUAUUUUCAUUCCUGAAAUGGUUUCGAAGGUUAUUCCAUCAAGUUGUGGCCGAUUUGUUUUACCGUAACGGUUCGACUUUCUCUGCGGAACAUUAAGAAUAUUUACAUACCUGAAAGAAUACUUCAACACUCAUCAAUGUUUAUAAGCGCAUAUAUGAUAGCUAUAUUGUUCAUAAUAUUUUAAGAUUCUAGAGCCAUUGUUCUUAUCCGUCUGAUCUGCAUGCCUGGAGUACACUGUAGCUUUAUGAAAGGGCUCCUCGUAGGAGCUGCUAAAAUACUCGUAUACAAAAGGGA
rnacentral:lncRNA from 1 species